rnacentral:rRNA from 1 species
UACGUAGGGGGCGAGCGUUGUCCGGAAUCAUUGGGCGUAAAGCGCGUGUAGGCGGCCAGGUAGGUCUGCUGUGAAAACUCGAGGCUCAACCUCGAGACGUCGGCGGAAACCAUCUGGCUAGAGUCCGGAAGAGGAGAGUGGAAUUCCUGGUGUAGCGGUGAAAUGCGCAGAUAUCAGGAAGAACACCCGUGGCGAAGGCGGCUCUCUGGGACGGUACUGACGCUGAGACGCGAAAGCGUGGGGAGCGAACAGG